rnacentral:rRNA from 1 species
AUGGCGGUGCUGCUAUGUCUGUAUGAUGGAUUCAGUAGAGCUGAGGACGUCGUGUUCGUUCACAUGCCAAUUUGGCUUCAGAUCCAUAAGCUGACAGACCCCAAGGAAAACAUUGUUGAGAAACUGUUGAAGGGUGCUGGUGAAAUUAUGGAGAUGCGCCUGAAUGGGAAUACGCGUGGUGAUUACGUCAGGGUGAGGGUGAAUCAUGAUAUCCAACAGCCCCUUACGAAGUUUGUGAGCAUCAUACGUGCCAGGGAGCGUCAGGUUUAUCUGGUACGUUAUGAGAAAUUGGCUCGAUUCUGCAAGGCUUGUGGUCUGAUUGGACAUGAACACAAGGAGUGUGGGCUGGGAGUUCAUGACGAAAAAAAGCUCAAGUAUGGGGAUUGGCUGUAUGCUGACGGCCCGAAUAGAUCAAGGUCAGAUCCCAAUCAGGGUAAGACGUCUGGUCCUCGUCAACCGGGGAAGAUGAGUAGCCCUGCAGGUACUCCAGUUCCUACGCAGAAGGGGAUUGACUCGGAAACAACGGACACAUCAACAAUCCCCUUGAAAAGCUCAGGAACUAGGAUGGAAGUGGACAGGGAUGCAAGGAAGAGGUUGAACAUGGACAAUGUUAGAGAUGAUGUAAAUGAAAACCCUGGCACCCCGAAGCCGGUACUUGCCAUCACCGAUGGUAGUGGGAGAGAUCUCUGCAUGACCAACUCGCCGACUAGUAGCUCUUCAAGCAGAAAACGAUCUAACUCACUAAGGAUGAUGUUUCCAAUGAUAUAUCGGCGGCCUCCCUCGAGGAGGACCGCCGGACGCAAUGAAUAUCCUAUCUUGGAACUGCCGGGGGGCGAACAGUUCACGAGGUUUUGGCCUUCUCAAAAGCCAAUAACCGCUAGUCUUCCUGUGUGA